CCUACGGGAGGCAGCAGUGGGGAAUAUUGCACAAUGGGGGAAACCCUGAUGCAGCGACGCCGCGUGAGUGAAGAAGGAAUUCGGUAUGUAAAGCUCUAUCAGCAGGGAAGAAAAUGACGGUACCUGAGUAAGAAGCCCCGGCUAACUACGUGCCAGCAGCCGCGGUAAUACGUAGGGGGCAAGCGUUAUCCGGAUUUACUGGGUGUAAAGGGAGCGUAGACGGCAGUGCAAGUCUGGAGUGAAAGGCGGGGGCUCAACCCCCGGACUGCUCUUGAAACUGUACGGCUGGAGUGCAGGAGAGGUAAGUGGAAUUCCUAGUGUAGCGGUGAACUCCUUAGAUAUUAGGAGGAACACCAGUGGCGAAGGCGGCUUACUGGACUGUACCUGACGUUGAGGCUCGAACGCGUGGGGAGCAAACAGGAUUAGAUACCCUUGUAGUC
rnacentral:rRNA from 1 species